GGCUAUAUCAUGUUGAAGCACAAGCACUCGUACGAUCACCGAAGUUAAGUAACAUCAAUCCUAGUCAGUACCUAGAUGGGUGACCGUUUGGAAUACCAGGUGUUGUAA